AAGACAGAUGUGUAAACUGCAGAGUGAAGUGUACACAUAUAUACACAGAGUUUGGAGGGAAAUUAGAGAUAGAGAGAUAUAGAGAGAGAGAGAGAGAGAGGGAGGGAGAGAUGUAUGCAACGAAGAAUGGGCUACAUGAAGAGCAGAGGUUGAAAAUCAUAAGAGAUUCCAUACGAGUCGUCCCUCACUUCCCCAAACCAGGAAUAAUGUUUCAAGACAUUACCACGCUGUUAUUGGAUCAUAAAGCCUUCAAGCUUACCGUUGAUAUUUUUGUCGAUCGUUAUAGAAAUCAAAACAUCUCUGCUGUUGCUGGAGUUGAAGCCAGAGGAUUUAUGUUUGGCCCUUCUAUCGCGCUGGCCAUUGGUGCUAAGUUUAUUCCUCUACGUAAACCGAGGAAGUUGCCAGGUGAAGUCAUCUCUGAAGCAUAUGUACUGGAGUACGGUACUGAUUGUUUGGAGAUGCAUGUUGGGGCUGUUCAUCCUGGGGAACGUGUGCUGGUUAUUGAUGAUAUAGUGGCGACAGGUGGGACCCUCUCUGCAGCCAUCAGACUCUUAGAAAGAGUUGGAGCGGAGGUAGUCGAAUGUGCAUGUGUUAUUGGAAUACCAGAGCUGAAGGGUAUUGGCAAGUUGAACGGGAAACCACUGUAUGUUCUAGUGGAGCCUCGCCAGUAAAGAACUUGCCUUGGUACUGUCUUACUGCUAUAAUCAACAUUUACAUACGAGCUGCUAUAGAGAAAAGCUUUUUUGUAACUUGACAGGGAUUACACUUGCCUUGAAAAGCAGUGGGAGUUGAUGAAGCUUGGUCGACGGUGUUGCAUCUAAAAUUAGUCUGCAAGUCUUGAUUUAUAGGAGCUUCAAAGGAGGAAUUGUGUGUAAGGGAUGAUUCUUUUUUAAAAGAAAACCGUCCCAGAAAAUGGGUAGUCCUUAACAAGUUUUCAGGAGCACGUAUAAUAAUGAUUCCAGAGGCUGGCAGAAGUGUUCUUAUGCUCUGGGGAUCUUAGAAGUCAUCUUCUCCGCACUGGACCAGGUCGAUUAAACAAGCUGAUUUUGUUUUUGGCACAAAAAUAUUUUGUAAUGCAUUCUUGUGUAUAUCUUCUUCUUUUGGCUCUGGAUUAGCUUUCUGGUCGCAUUUUCCUGUCUGGAUUACAACGUAACUGAUGCUUCUUCUCUGCCUAUAAGUUGUAUACUGUAUAUGGUUUUACUAUUUAAUUUUUAUUUUUUGGGGGACAACCAAGACAAGAUA